rnacentral:rRNA from 1 species
UACGUAGGGUGCAAGCGUUAUCCGGAAUUAUUGGGCGUAAAGAGUUCGUAGGCGGUUUGUCACAUCUGCUGUGAAAACUGGAGGCUCAACCUCCAGCCUGCAGUGGGUACGGGCAGACUAGAGUGCGGUAGGGGAGAUUGGAAUUCCUGGUGUAGCGGUGGAAUGCGCAGAUAUCAGGAGGAACACCGAUGGCGAAGGCAGAUCUCUGGGCCGUAACUGACGCUGAGGAGCGAAAGCAUGGGGAGCGAACAGG